CCUACGGGAGGCAGCAGUGGGGGAUAUUGCACAAUGGGGGAAACCCUGAUGCAGCGACGCCGCGUGUAGGAAGACGGUCCUCUGGAUUGUAAACUACUGUUUUCAGGGACGAAGAUGACGGUCCCUGGGGAGGAAGCUCCGGCUAACUACGUGCCCGCAGACGCGGUAAUACGCAGGGGGCGAGCGUUGUCCGGAAUUACUGGGUGUAAGGGGAUCGUAGGCGGUGAUUCAAGGUGGGGGGAAAAUCUACGGGCUCAACUGGGAGUCGCACUCAAAACUGCAGCUAUUGAGUGAAGUAGAGGCAGGCGGAAUUCCUAGUGUAGCGGUGAAAGGCGUAGAUAUUAGGAAGAACACCGAUGGCGAAGGCGGCAUGCUGGGGUUUAACUGACGCUGAGGCUCGAAAGUGUGGGGAGCAAACAGGAUUAGAUACCCCAGUAGUC
rnacentral:rRNA from 1 species